UACGGAGGGUGCAAGCGUUAAUCGGAAUUACUGGGCGUAAAGGGUGCGUAGGUGGUUAAGUAAGUUAUCUGUGAAAUACCUGGGCUUAACCUGGGCAGGUCAGAUAAGACUGCAUGACUAGAGUAUGGGAGAGGGAAGUGGAAUUCCCGGUGUAGUGGUGAAAUGCGUAGAUAUCGGGAGGAACACCAGUGGCGAAGGCGACUUCCUGGCCUGUUCUUGACGCUGAGGCGCGAAAGCAUGGGGAGCGAACAGG
rnacentral:rRNA from 1 species